CUUUGAUCUCGCAUACUCUCGAUCUCGCUCUUGAUACCUUUUUUCGUAACUAUACUUAUCAUGCUUCCAAGAAUUAUCUCUUCUAAUUUUAUUAGACUCGUGAGAACGAAAAGAAUCAUGCCUAUCUCGUCGACUUGAUACAUCGUCUACGUAUCGGUUAUACCGUGCACCCUUUUGAUCUUCAGAGUCAUCAUAUUUUCGGUAAUCUCUUCUUUCUCUAUUGUAGGAUCGCCUU